rnacentral:rRNA from 1 species
UACAGAGACUGCAAGCGUUACUCGGAUUUACUGGGCGUAAAGGGUGCGUAGGUGGCUAGAUGUGUCAGAUGUGAAAUCUUGGGGCUCAACCCCAAAAUUGCGUUUGAAACUGUCUAGCUAGAGUAUUGGAGGGGUAAGUGGAAUUCCUAGUGUAGCAGUGAAAUGCGUAGAUAUUAGGAGGAACACCAAUGGCGAAGGCAGCUUACUGGACAAUAACUGACACUAAAGCACGAAAGCGUGGGGAGCAAAAGGG